CGAGCAGAAGCCAGUCGUAGUGAUUUUUUGGUUUCUUUUUCAAGUUCAAGUUUCCGGCUACUACAUCACCAGCGGCGAACGCUCUGCUUGCGUGAAUUUAUAGUUUUUAAAAAAAGCGUCCAAAAGGGCGCUUUUGUUACGGGCAAAGCUAUCUCGUUAGCCUCGCCAUUUUGAAUUGUUCGUUAGCGGACACGUGGAACUCUCCCGAGACGGGGCUCAGCUGGGUCCGCCAGACACUGGUAGCCAAACGGGGUCGAGAAGUAUCUCACCGGCCUUCCUGCGAUCGUUAGCGAUUGAUCGGGUAGCGUACCGGUUCCGCCGACUC